rnacentral:rRNA from 1 species
GAUGAACGCUGGCGGCGUGCCUAAUACAUGCAAGUCGAGCGAAAAGACGAGGAGAUUGUUCUCUUGCCGUUAGCGGCGGACGGGUGAGUAACAAGUAGAUCACAUUCUUCUUUGACUGGGAUAACUUCGGGAAAAAGGAGCUACUACUGGCUCAUAUAAUGUACCGCUUGAUUCAAUAGUGCUAGACGGUUUUCGUGUCUCAAUUAGCUGGUUUCGCGCCGCAUUAGUUAGUUGGUAAGGUAACGGCUUACCAAGGCAACGUAGCGUAGCCGACCUGAGGGGGUGAUCGGCCACACGGGAACUGAGACACGGUCCAGACUCCUACGGGAGGCAGCAGGAGGGAAUCUUCCGCAAUGGGCGAAAGCCUGACGGAGCAACGCCGCGUGAGUGAUGAAGGUCUUCGGAUCGUAAAACUCUGUUAUUAGGGAAGAACAAAUGUGUAAGUAACUAUGCACGUCUUGACGGUACCUAAUCAGAAAGCCACGGCUAACUACGUG